GACGAACCGUGCAAACGUUAUUCGGAAUCACUGGGCUUAAAGGGCGCGUAGGCGGGCGAUCAAGUCCGGGGUGAAAGCCUCCAGCUUAACUGGAGAAGUGCCUCGGAUACUGACCGUCUCGAGGAGGGUAGGGGCAUCUGGAACUAGCGGUGGAGCGGUGAAAUGCGUUGAUAUCGCUAGGAACUCCGAUGGCGAAGGCAAGGUGCUGGACCCUUUCUGACGCUGAGGCGCGAAAGCCAGGGGAGCGAACGGG
rnacentral:rRNA from 1 species